GACGAACGCUGGCGGCGUGCUUAACACAUGCAAGUCGAACGGAAAGGCCCUGCUUUUGUUGGGUGCUCGAGUGGCGAACGGGUGAGUAACACGUGAGUAACCUGCCCUUGACUUUGGGAUAACUUCAGGAAACUGGGGCUAAUACCGGAUAGGAGCUCCUGCUGCAUGGUGUGGGUUGGAAAGUUUCGGCGGUUGGGGAUGGACUCGCGGCUUAUCAGCUUGUUGGUGGGGUAGUGGCUUACCAAGGCUUUGACGGGUAGCCGGCCUGAGAGGGUGACCGGCGACAUUGGGACUGAGAUACGCACCAGACUCGUACGGGAGGCAGCAGUGGGGAAUAUUGCAGAAUGGGCGGAAGCCUGAGGUAGCAACGUCGCGUGCGGGAUGACGUCUUACGGGUUGUAAACCGCUUUCGAAUGAGACGAAGCGGGAUUGACGGUAAUGGGUCAAGAAGCCCCGGCUAACUACGUG
rnacentral:rRNA from 1 species